AACGAACGCUGGCGGCAGGCUUAACACAUGCAAGUCGAACGCCCCGCAAGGGGAGUGGCAGACGGGUGAGUAACGCGUGGGAAUCUACCGUACCCUACGGAACAACAGUUGGAAACGACUGCUAAUACCGUAUACGCCCUACGGGGGAAAGAUUUAUCGGGGUAUGAUGAGCCCGCGUUGGAUUAGCUAGUUGGUGGGGUAAAGGCCUACCACGGCGACGAUCCAUAGCUGGGCUGAGAGGAUGAGCAGCCACAUUGGGACUGAGACACGGCCCAAACUCCUACGCGAGGCAGCAGUGGGAGAUAUUGGACAAGGGGCGCAAGCCUGAUCCAGCCAUGCCGCGUGAGUGAUGAAGGUCUUAGGAUUGUAAAGCUCUUUCACCGAUGAAGAUAAUGACGGUAGUCGGAGAAGAAGCCCCGGCUAACUUCGUGCCAGCCGCCGCCGUAA
rnacentral:rRNA from 1 species